rnacentral:rRNA from 1 species
UACGGAGGGAGCUAGCGUUGCUCGGAAUCACUGGGCGUAAAGGGCGCGUAGGCGGCGUUUUUAAGUCGGGGGUGAAAGCCUGUGGCUCAACCACAGAAUGGCCUUCGAUACUGGGACGCUUGAGUAUGGUAGAGGUUGGUGGAACUGCGAGUGUAGAGGUGAAAUUCGUAGAUAUUCGGAAGAACACCAGUGGCGAAGGCGACACACUGGGCCAUUACUGACGCUGAGGCGCGAAAAGCGUGGGGGAGCAAACAG